CCUUACCAGACUCUUAGAAGAGAUGACAAGUGAAUGAAAUGUGAUUUUAACAUCUUUUAUGAUUAUCGUUGUACCUUUGAAGAGUUGACUUCAAUUCUUUUGGAUGGAGUUCGCUUCUUCAUCAUCAUCAUCAUCCUCAUCCUUCAUAAAAUCAGAACCCCGUUUCAUAUACGAUGCAUUCAUCAACUUCGGGGGAGAAGACAUCGGUAGAAAGUUCGCUUCUCAUCUCACUUAUGCCCUUUUACAAGCUCAAGUCAAAACUUUUAUUAGCGACGAGAGUCUGCCGAAGGGACUGGAGCUGGAAGAGCACAUGCGAGCAAUAGGAGGCACUAAGAUUGCAAUAAUCGUUUUCUCCAAAACAUACACUGAAUCGGCCUGUUGUCUUCUUGAGCUAGAAAAAAUUAUUGAAUGCCUCGAAACUUUUGGGCAAAUAGUUUUGCCCGUAUUUUACGACAAUGGACCACGGUAUGUACGUGAUCAUGAUCGGAAUGAUUUUGGAAAAGCGAUGGAAGAAACUGCACGCAAAAGCUAUUCAGGUGAACAACUGAAGCAAGUGUUGUCAAGGUGGAGGCGUGCUCUAAACAAAGCUGCAGGUAUCAUCCAUGGUUUGUAUGGUAGAAAUUUCAGGCAUGAUGCUGAACUUGUGGAGGUAACUGUUAGACGCGUUCAGUCUUUGCUGGACUAUGAGGACUUGUCUGUUUUUCCUUUUCCUGUUGAAUUAGAGUCCCACGUAAAAAAGGUGAUUAAAUGUAUUGAAAAUCAUUCCACCAAAGUGUUCAUGAUAGGGAUAUGGGGAAAGGAAGGAUCGGGUAAAACUAUCUUAGCCAAAGUCAUCUAUAAUCGAAUUUAUCGUCGAUUCAUUGGUAAGAAUUAUUUUGAAUAUAUUAAAGGAGUUUGGGAUCGAGUAGAUAGAAGGGAUGUUGAUUUGAAAGAAUUUGUUAAUGAUGUCCUAAAAGACAAGUUCGAGAUUGAAAGCAUUCGGAGGCGAAGAGUUAUUAUGGAGAAGACUGAACUUUUUCGAAGGAAGUUGCUCAUUGUGUUUGAUGGUGUGACUGAGUUUGGCCAACUAGAAAGCCUAUACCGGAAUCGUAAAUGGUUCGGUCAAGGAACUGUAAUUAUCAUUACAACUAGAGAUGUUCAAAUACUGAAGCGACUCAAAGUUGAUUAUGUUUAUAAAAUGAAUGUUAUGAACGAAAAUAAUUCCCUUUUAACUUUUCAGUUCUCAUGUCUUCAGAUAAGCAUAACCAAGAAAAGAACUGAAUGAACUUGCAAGAAACAUAGUUGUUUAUCGUGGAGGGCUAUCACUAGCUCUUAAGUUCCUUGGUUCCUUUUUAUGUGUUAGAACAAUGGAAAAGUGGGAUUGUGUAUUCUCAAACCUAAAAUUAAUUCCCACUGGUAUACUUCAAGAGAAUUUGAAAAUAAGUUUAAUUUGACGGUGACAGGGAAAAGGAUAUAUUUCUUGAUGUGUGUAUUGGUAAAGAGAGAGACUAUGUCACAAAGAUACAGUGUGAAAGGAAAAACACCCUUGAAAUGCAUUCUUUGUUACGUGACAUGGGCAGAGACAUUAUCCGUCAAAGAUGGCCAAAGCAACAGAGGAAAAGAAGUCGAUUAUGGUUUCAGGAUGAUGUAAAAGAUGUAGUACUGACAAAGAAUAUUGGGAUGUGGUGGAAGAUGGAAGUAAUCCAACUCCAUUACCACACAACACAAUAAUGGCUCAGAGAAGAUCACAAUGAAGAAGAGACAAAGGAUAGGGAUUUGUUGUUUCAGAUAGUGAAAUCAAAGUCUACAAGCUUUAAAAAGCUCCAUAUAUAUUUACAUAGGCACCAAGAGGCUGAUAUAGUAGAAUUGACAAUUAUCUUUUACCUUAGGUAUUUAAACGAAGUGAAACAAAGCUACCUAUGUAAGAAGAUUAUGCAGUGAAGUGCAACUUAUUGUGUCAUUGUAUGUUAAUGAUUAUCUAGUUAUUGAAAAUACUUCAGGUUCCUUGAGAAAA